CAGCAGCCGCGGUAAUGCAGAGGAUGCAAGCGUUAUCCGGAAUGAUUGGGCGUAAAGUGUCUGUAGGUGGCUUUUCAAGUCCGCCGUCAAAUCCCAGGGCUCAACCCUGGACAGGCGGUGGAAACUACCAAGCUGGAGUAUGGUAGGGGCAGAGGGAAUUUCCGGUGGAGCGGUGAAAUGCGUUGAGAUCGGAAAAAACACCAACGACGAAAGCACUCUGCUGGGCCGACACUGACACUUAGAGACGAAAGCUAGGGGAGCAAAUGGGAUUAGAUACCCGCGUAGUCCCUGUCUCUUAUAC
rnacentral:rRNA from 1 species